UUCUUAUAGAGAUAAUUAUAAGUAAAGCCUGCUCAAUGUUCAAUAAAUAGCCGCAGAAAUUUUACUGUGCUAAGGUAGCAAAAUCAUUAGUUUCUUAAUUAGAGACCAGAAUGAAGGGCUUAACACUCCCCCCACUAUUUUAACCUUAUCAAUAAAACUUAUACUAGAUAUUAAAAUAUAUCUAUUUAAAAGCAAGACGACAAGACCCUAUCGAACUUAACUUCAGUUUAGCUGGGGAAGCUCGUUAAAUAAUACUUUAAUCCGACUAAUCAAAAAACAGACCCAAUAAAAUUGAUUAUAUGAUUAAGUUACCGUAGGGAUAACAGCGUAAUAAUUUUUCAAAGUUCAUAUUUUAAAAAAAGUUUGCGACCUCGAUGUUGAAUUAAAUUACCACAGGGCGCAAAAGCUCUACAAGUGGGUCUGUUCGACCCUUAAAAUUUUACAUGAUC
rnacentral:rRNA from 1 species